UUCCGGUUGAUCCUGCCGGAAGUCACUGCUAUUGGGAUUCGCCUAAGCCAUGCGAGUCGAGAGGGUUCGGCCCUCGGCUGACGGCUCAGUAACACGUGGAUAAUCUGCCCUUAGGUGGAGGAUAACCUCGGGAAACUGAGAAUAAUACUCCAUAGGCCUAAGAUGCUGGAAUGCACCUAGACUUAAAGCUCCGGCGCCUAAGGAUGAGUCUGCGGACUAUCAGGUAGUAGUCAGGGUAAAGACCUGACUAGCCUACGACGGAUAUGGGUUGUGAGAGCAAUAACCCAGGGAUGAUAUCUGAGACACGAUAUCAGGCCCUACGGGGCGCAGCAGGCGCGAAAACUUCACACUGUGCGAAAGCACGAUGAGGGAAUCCCAAGUGCUUGCUCGCAAGAGUAAGCUGUUUCUUUGUUUAAAAUGCAUUGAGAGUAAGGGCUGGGUAAGACGGGUGCCAGCCGCCGCGGUAAUACCUGCAGCUCGAGUGGUGACCGCUAUUAUUGGGCCUAAAACGUCCGUAGCCGGUUUAAUAAAUGCCUGGGUAAAUCGUGUAGCUUAACUAUACGAAUUCCGGGUAGACUGUUAAACUUGAGACCGGGAGAAGCUAGAGGUACUCCUGGGGUAGAGGUGAAAUUCUGUAAUCCUAGGGGGACCACCAGUGGCGAAGGCGUCUAGCUAGAACGGGUCUGACGGUGAGGGACGAAGCCCUGGGGCGCAAACCGGAUUAGAUACCCGGGUAGUCCAGGGUGUAAACGCUGCUUGCUUGAUGUUAGUUGGGCUCUGAGCCCAAUUAGUGUCGGAGAGAAGUUGUUAAGCAAGCUGCCUGGGAAGUACGGUCGCAAGACUGAAACUUAAAAGGAAUUGGCGGGGGAGCACAGCAACGGGUGGAGCGUGCGGUUCAAUUGGGAUUCAACGCCGGGU
rnacentral:rRNA from 1 species